rnacentral:rRNA from 1 species
UACGUAGGAUGCAAGCGUUGUCCGGAUUUACUGGGCGUAAAGCGCGCGCAGGCGGCUCUUUAAGUAUGGCGUGAAAUCUCCCUGCUCAACGGGGAGGGUGCGUUGUAGACUGAGGAGCUUGAGGUCGGUAGAGGGGGGUGGAAUUGCUGGUGUAGCGGUGAAAUGCGUAGAGAUCAGCAGGAACACCCGUGGCGAAGGCGGCCCCCUGGGCCGUACCUGACGCUGAGGCGCGAAGGCUAGGGGAGCGACCCGGAUUAGAUACCCGGUUAGUCCUAGCAGUAAACGAUGGAUACUAGGUGUGGGGGGUGUUGACCCCUCCUGUGCCGAAGCUAACGCAUUAAGUAUCCCGCCUGGGGAGUACGGUCGCAAGACUAAA